rnacentral:rRNA from 1 species
UACGGAGGGUGCGAGCGUUGUCCGGAAUCAUUGGGCGUAAAGGGCGCGUAGGUGGCCCGGCAAGCGUGCGGUGAAAGUCGGGGGCUCAACCCCCGAUCGGCCGUGCGAACUGCGGGGCUGGAGCACUGUAGAGGCAGGCGGAAUUCCGGGUGUAGUGGUGAAAUGCGUAGAGAUCGGGAGGAACACCAGUGGCGAAGGCGGCUCGCUGGGCCGGUCCUGACACUGAGACGCGAAGGCGUGGGGAGCGAACGGG